GCUAUUAAACAAGAGGAACCUUGACUUUCCGUUUGGUGUAGCGAGGAUAGGGAAAUGCUGAUAUACACAAAUGGUGCAUUCUUGAUCAUCUACUUGACUUUACCGCCACAUUUUGUGAGAUUGGAUUAGCAGGUGAGAAGCUUCGAGCUGAAUGGCCGUUUCACAGGAGCUAAAGCUGUUGGUAUUUUCUUCUAAAACUGAAAACAAUCUCAUCACUUGAUUGAUGUCAACUCAGAAAAAACAAAGAUAAAAUAUGUACCAUGCCCAAAGGGAAGGGAGCCAAAGGCACAAAGAUAACGCUCAAGAUUGCCAAAAAGGCAAUACGGAUGACCCCAGAUGGACGGCGCAGACUCAUCCUUAGCAACAUGGGUAUAACCAUCUUCCCAAAGUGUCUCCUCAAACUGUCUAAUGUGGACGAAUUGGACCUCAGCCGCAACCUGAUACAGAGACUCCCAGAUAACAUUGGGAACUUCUCAUCACUCAGGUGGCUGGAUCUCCACAGCAACAAGCUAGAGUCUGUGCCUGAGUCCAUUGGCAACCUGGUGGGACUCACCCACCUCAACCUCUCAAACAACUGCCUAACCUCUUCAAGUUUACCCUCCACAUUGGGUUUUCUCGCCAGCCUGAGGAGUCUCAAUCUGGGGAUGAACAGGCUGGACAGCCUGCCUCCCACUAUGGUGGCUCUACACAGCCUGGAAGAGUUAGGCCUGUUUGAUAACCUCUUCAUCCAGCUGCCAGAGUUUGUGAAAGCCCUACGCAACCUCACUAAGGUGAACAUGAAACAAAAUCCUCUAUCGUAUGCUCAGGGGGAUGGUGAAAAAUCAGAACCAGAGGAAGAUGUGUACCUGGUCCAUGAGAGCAGCCUGUGUAGGACAUGCCUUAAGAGAUGUAAAGAGCAGACAGAAAGGCUUACACGAGGAAGAAUAGGAAGAGAUGGAGGAGGAGGAGACAUGUUUGAGGACAAAAGGAUAAGGACUUAUCCAGGACUGAUGGUGCCAAACUCAGUGGCAACAGCCAAUCAAGAUGUGUGGAGAGUAAGAAAGUGACUGUGUGCACCUGGCUGUCGCCCUGUGUUGGCCCCUCUGCAGGUCCUCUGGGACACCGGUACGUGUGUUUGGCUGGGCCCAAAAACCAUAUGGGGCACCGACAUACCCGCAGGCCCCUCACAAUUUAUACUAAUCAAAUAAGACUCCCUACCCCCAGACACAGAGUCACACACUUGGCGGAGGAGGACACCCUGCCUGGCCAUUAUUAGGAGAAUUAAUCACUGCCACACACACAAUAGGAAACCUGCUAAGUGAUCAGAACCUCUUGUCUGAAUGCACACACACUAUGAUGGAUAUGGAUGUGAAAGCAUUUAAGAAGAGUCAAGAUAUGCGUUAUCAUUCUGUGGAUGAUUUAGCUGAUGAUGGGAAGGAGAGAAAAGGAGGACUUUUAUUGACUGAGAGCCUAAUGUCAGACCAUUGAUUUCUCCCCACACACAUUACUGUCAUAAUCACACUAUUGGCGCUGGCAAGCUAAUUAUGAGAAGCUCAGCAGGACUCACACACUGAACCACUGCAAGACAACAGGACACAUUGCACACAUCACACACUUACUAAGCGGAUGUAAGACAGCUUGCAUCACCUCCUACUGUUUUUAUUAAUACUUCUGUCAGAAACAUUAAAAGCCGCGGCUGGUUGCCGGAGCGAUGA